GGCCUUUCUCCCCUUUAAUCCUCAAUUUCCCCUUUGACCCGUACCUUCUCAUUAAUCCCCAAAUAACAGACCCAAUCCUUUUUCUUCUUUCCGUGAAAAUUCCCAGAAAAGGACUCCCCCCAAAGCAGAACUCAACGCGUCAAUAGCAAGCGCGACAACAGCAACUCCCAGUGGUAACGCGUGAAUGACACACGCGAUGGAGCAACGAUUCCAAUAUGAGAGAAUUAGUAUGCAUACAGCUGCUCGACCUUUUGUCAUCUUCUCUCAACGUCUCUCACUCCAAAAUGCUUUCAGCAGGAGCAGACCUGCGAACUCGUCCUUUGGCGUAGGAUUCAGACACAUCGACACUAAGGACAUGGAAAAUGAUCGAAGCCAUCCGUUCUUCUUACCUUUUCGGAAUGAAGUUGAAAGCUUCAGAAAAAGGUUUCAUCCUAAAAGGGUGAAAGAGUUUUGAGAUUCAAAUUGAGAGGUGGGCCUUUUGUCAUCGGUAUUUUGGUCCGUUUUCCCCAACUUUUCAAACCCUGGUCUCCUCCUCUAUAUAAUCGCUUUGGUUCAUUGUUUUGGGGUGAGAAGGGGGGGGGGGGAGUUUUUGUUUUGUGAAAAGCUUUGGACGAAAACAGAGAAAAAAAAGUAAUAAUUUGAAAAUGAGUUUGAGGAAAAAUUGAUAAAACCUUACUAAGGCAUAAAAUCAGCAAGAAUAGUCACAGAAGAUAGAAAACACGUUUGAAAGAGAGAAAAUAAUAGUUAGUUUCCGGCCGAGUUCGAUUCCUCUAGCUUGUUCACCAUCAUUUGUCAAGGUUCGGUCAAGUUCCGUUGUUGUUUAGGUUACCCGCUCGCUUUUCCAGAUCGUGUAUCUGUGGUAGAAUCCAACUCCCUGCUCAUCUCGUCACCAAUUUCGCUGCCCCUCAAAAGUAUAUUGUUGUUAUGUAUUCCUCGGUCAAGACCUGAAAUGGGAAGAACUUAGGCAUAGUGCAUUUCCUAUCAGUGACUCGCCGACUGCAUCGACGAAGGAUGACCAUGUCGUCGAAGGUAUUGAGUGAAGCCAAGUUGAACUCAAUUUGUCAAGAUAAAAGAUCAAAGAUAGCAUUGUGGAAAUGAUCGGCGAUAUCGAUUUAGAUCACUUAAAUUACAUUGUUUGCAUAAUGAAAAGGUGAAGAAAGAAGGUGAGAGAAAAGGACGAUCGAUGAAGCUCGACAUUCCUCGCCGAUUGGCCUAAACAAGACACACCUCAGAUUAGUACAAAGUGAUUUUUGGAAGAGAGAGAAAGUAUUCAGAAAUUGUGAGGAACAAAAGAUAGAGAGCAAAAACACUGCUAUUGUUGAUUUUGAGUAAUUUUAGCAAGAUUUUUGAAUUGGGUAUUGAGAAGAUAUCAUUUAUUGUGGACUUUGGAUUUUCACAUACCCAACUACGGAACAUGUAGUAGGUAUCAAAUUUCGUCUUUUUAUAUGAUAAUUGGCUAGAAUCCCAAUCUUGAGGUUUUACAAUUUAACCAAUUGUUGUGUUUUACUUAAUGGGUGUUAGUAAUUAUCAAUUUUUGGUGUUAAUUUUAAGUGGGUAUGAGUUGUUACUGUGUCUUAA